GGAAUCGCGGGAGGAGGAGGAGGCGGCGACGGCGGCGGCGACGGUGGUGGUGGUGGUGCCGCGAUUGGUUGGUUUACUUUUUCAAGGUACCCCCCAACCCCAACCCCAACAUGCCUUGCUUUGCUUGAAUGCUUUAGGAUUCAGGUAAUCAGGUUGGUGCCGUGCACCUUCCAUCGCCACAUCAUCCUCCCAGAAAGCGUCGUUCCACGGAUCCUCUGCAGCUAUAGGCGGUGCAGCCCAUCAUUUGCU